rnacentral:rRNA from 1 species
GAUGAACGCUGGCGGCGUGCCUAAUACAUGCAAGUCGAGCGAACAGACGAGGAGCUUGCUCCUUUGACGUUAGCGGCGGACGGGUGAGUAACACGUAGGUAACCUACCUAUAAGACUGGGAUAACUUCGGGAAACCGGAGCUAAUACCGGAUAAUAUUUCGAACCGCAUGGUUCGAUAGUUAAAGAUGGCUUUGCUAUCACUUAUAGAUGGACCUGCGCCGUAUUAGCUAGUUGGUAAGGUAACGGCUUACCAAGGCAACGAUACGUAGCCGACCUGAGAGGGUGAUCGGCCACACUGGAACUGAGACACGGUCCAGACUCCUACGGGAGGCAGCAGUAGGGAAUCUUCCGCAAUGGGCGAAAGCCUGACGGAGCAACGCCGCGUGAGUGAUGAAGGUCUUCGGAUCGUAAAACUCUGUUAUUAGGGAAGAACAAACGUGUAAGUAAAUGUGCAAGUCUUGACGGUACCUAAUCAGAAAGCCACGGCUAACUACGUG